rnacentral:rRNA from 1 species
UACGUAGGUGGCGAGCGUUGUCCGGAUUUACUGGGCGUAAAGGGAGCGUAGGCGGACUUUUAAGUGAGAUGUAAAAUACCCGGGCUCAACUUGGGUGCUGCAUUUCAAACUGGAAGUCUAGAGUGCAGGAGAGGAGAAUGGAAUUCCUAGUGUAGCGGUGAAAUGCGUAGAGAUUAGGAAGAACACCAGUGGCGAAGGCGAUUCUCUGGACUGUAACUGACGCUGAGGCUCGAAAGCGUGGGGAGCAAACAGGAUUAGAUACCCUGGUA